rnacentral:lncRNA from 1 species
AAGUAUGAUGUGUUGGACUACUUCCAGCCAUCAGACCAUUCAUCUUCAUUGGUGCAAGGUAUAGGGAGCUCUGACUGGAAAGAAUCUUGACCAGAUCCUACAUUGUUAGAGGGGUAUGUGUUCCAGCCAUCUUUACCAGAUUCUACAUUGUUAGAAGAAUAUGUGUUCCAGCCAUCUUGACAAGAUUCUACGUUGUUAGAGGGGUAUGAAUUCCAGCCAUCAGACCAUCCAGCUUCAUCAGUGACAGGUUUAGGGAGCUCUGACUGGGAGGAAUCUUGGCCGAAUUCUCCAUUGUUAGAGGGCCAUGUGUUAUCUUC